rnacentral:rRNA from 1 species
GAUGAACGCUGGCGGCGUGCCUAAUACAUGCAAGUCGAGCGAACGGACGAGAAGCUUGCUUCUCUGAUGUUAGCGGCGGACGGGUGAGUAACACGUGGAUAACCUACCUAUAAGACUGGGAUAACUUCGGGAAACCGGAGCUAAUACCGGAUAAUAUUUUGAACCGCAUGGUUCAAAAGUGAAAGACGGUCUUGCUGUCACUUAUAGAUGGAUCCGCGCUGCAUUAGCUAGUUGGUAAGGUAACGGCUUACCAAGGCAACGUUGCAUAGCCGACCUGAGAGGUUGAUCGCCCACACUGGAACUGAGACACGGUCCAGACUCCUACGGGAGGCAGCAGUAGGGAAUCUUCCGCAAUGGGCGAAUGCCUGACGGAGCAACGCCGCGUGAGUGAUGAAGGUCUUCGGAUCGUAAAACUCUGUUAUUAGGGAAGAACAUAUGUGUAAGUAACUGUGCACAUCUUGACGGUACCUAAUCAGAAAGCCACGGCUAACUACGUG